GCUUGGCCAUCAGAUCUGCCACCUCAAUUAAUGAGAGAGAUCUAAUGGCCCUCGUUUUUUUUAAUUUCUAUUUUAAUUCUGAUUUUCUAUUUAAUUCCUUUAUUUUGUUUAAUUCAUAUUAAUUUCAUUUUUAAUCCAAAAAAUAUGGGACUUUCACCAAAAAUCUUUAAAUAUUUUCCUCUUUCAUAUUUUGAAUUACAUUUUAUUUUUUGGAUUAAUUUUGAUAUUUUCC
rnacentral:lncRNA from 1 species